CUGUCGCUCGCUCUCCCUAUCUCCCAUCUCUCUCUGUCGCUCUCCUCCCUAUCUCCCAUCUCUCUCUGUCGCUCUCCUCCCUAUCUCCCAUCUCUCUCUGUCGCUCUCCUCCCUAUCUCCCAUCUCUCUCUGUCGCUCUCCUCCCUGUCGCUCUCCUCCCUAUCUCCCAUCUCUCUCUGUCGCUCUCCUCCCUAUCUCCCAUCUCUCUCACACACAAACACACACAUACACACUCCCAAAACCCCAAACAGAGAACAACAGCACAGGAAAGCUAUUCUGAGAAGGCCUUAGUGAUUAGCUUUAAUAGACUAUCUCCCUGUACACUAUAACACUGGUGGUGCCCACUGUGUAAAGUUGAACUCCAACAGGGUCAAAUUCAUUAGUGCACACUGUAGCACAACAGUGCAAAAACACUUUGCAACAGGAAACAAAAACAAGCUUUUCUUUUCAGGUUAGUCCGUUUCUGCCCCUUGCUGCCGUUUGGUGCCAAGUGAACACGACCCCAGGCCUCUGGUUGACUGGCUCUUUCCUUCAUUAGCAGGGAAAAGAUAAACAAACAAGCCAACCUGAAAAACCCUCAAACUGUAAUAGUCAUUAUGGAUGGAUUGAAAACACAGUGUUCCAUGGGUUCAAUGCAGGCACACAGAUGUUCUGUCCCUUUGAUUGGUGUGUUUUCGGUGGGUGUGUUUUCUUAGACAUGGUGGCUGUAGUUAGUAAGUAGCCUUGCGGGUGCCAAGGCUUCAUAGGAGCCGUGAGGCAGCUUGAUGUACAAGUACACCCCCCGGACAGGAGUCUCUCAGGGCCUGGUAUGAUGGACCAAUAGACUUUCUGUACUUAUGAGGACAAUAGUUCAACAGUUUGUUUGCGUCGUGUCUGUUAUGCCGACGCGCAACAAACGGUGUGUGUAAGUGUCCAUGUAAUGAAAGCAUUGCGUUGACUUUUUAUAGUCCUGCUAAAUGUGGAUUACACAAGAGUCUCUAGUACAGCACCACAACACUUAAGAUACAACAGUAAAAACAAUGGAGAACAGCGUUGUGUUUCAGCUCCCAGAGAUUUCACUACAAUAGAGCGUGUAGAAGUGAAACAUACAUUCAACUCAGGACUUCCACUAUAGAGAACCAGGAACCUGGUAUAUUGUAAAGUAAACAGUCAUAUAGUCUCAAUUGAAAUAUAUCAGACACAGAUUAAACAAAAUAACUCUACACCAAACCAAGCACCUUGACAUGAGCUUCUUCUGUUACUCUAACUAACAGGUCAUGUAAUAAAGACAUUAGGUUGUUACUGUAACUAACAGGUCAUGUAAUAAAGACAUUAGGUUGUUACUGUAACUAACGGGUCAUGUAAUAAAGACAUUAGGUUGUUACUGUAACUAACUGGUCAUGUAAUAAAUACAUUAGGUUGUUACUGUAACUAACAGGUCAUGUAAUAAAGACAUUAGGUUGUUACUGUAACUAACAGGUCAUGUAAUAAAGACAUUAGGUUGUUACUGUAACUAACAGGUCAUGUAAUAAAGACAUUAGGUUGUUACUGUAACUAACGGGUCAUGUAAUAAAGACAUUAGGUUGUUACUGUAACUAACUGGUCAUGUAAUAAAUACAUUAGGUUGUUACUGUAACUAACAGGUCAUGUAAUAAAGACAUUAGGUUGUUACUGUAACUAACAGGUCAUGUAAUAAAGACAUUAGGUUGUUACUGUAACUAACGGGUCAUGUAAUAAAGACAUUAGGUUGUUACUGUAACUAACUGGUCAUGUAAUAAAUACAUUAGGUUGUUACUGUAACUAACUGGUCAUGUAAUAAAGACAUUAGGUUGUUCUGUUACUGUAACUAACUGGUCAUAUAAUAAAGACAUUAGGUUGUUCUGUUACUGUAACUAACUGGUCAUGUAAUAAAGACAUUAGGUUGUUCUGUUACUGUAACUAACUGGUCAUGUAAUAAAGACAUUAGGUUGUUACUGUAACUAACUGGUCAUGUAAUAAAGACAUUAGGUUGUUACUGUAACUAACUGGUCAUGUAAUAAAGACAUUAGGUUGUUCUGUUACUGUAACUAACUGGUCAUGUAAUAAAGACAUUAGGUUGUUACUGUAACUAACGGGUCAUGUAAUAAAGACAUUAGGUUGUUACUGUAACUAACUGGUCAUGUAAUAAAGACAUUAGGUUGUUCUGUUACUGUAACUAACUGGUCAUGUAAUAAAGACAUUAGGUUGUUCUGUUACUGUAACUAACUGGUCAUGUAAUAAAGACAUUAGGUUGUUACUGUAACUAACUGGUCAUGUAAUAAAGACAUUAGGUUGUUCUGUUACUGUAACUAACUGGUCAUGUAAUAAAGACAUUAGGUUGUUACUGUAACUAACUGGUCAUGUAAUAAAGACAUUAGGUUGUUCUGUUACUGUAACUAACUGGUCAUGUAAUAAAGACAUUAGGUUGUUACUGUAACUAACGGGUCAUGUAAUAAAGACAUUAGGUUGUUACUGUAACUAACUGGUCAUGUAAUAAAGACAUUAGGUUGUUCUGUUACUGUAACUAACUGGUCAUGUAAUAAAGACAUUGGGUUGUUCUGUUACUGUAACUAACUGGUCAUGUAAUAAAGACAUUAGGUUGUUACUGUAACUAACUGGUCAUGUAAUAAAGACAUUAGGUUGUUCUGUUACUGUAACUAACUGGUCAUGUAAUAAAGACAUUAGGUUGUUACUGUAACUAACUGGUCAUGUAAUAAAGACAUUAGGUUGUUCUGUUACUGUAACUAACUGGUCAUGUAAUAAAGACAUUAGGUUGUUACUGUAACUAACUGGUCAUGUAAUAAAGACAUUAGGUUGUUCUGUUACUGUAACUAACUGGUCAUGUAAUAAAGACAUUAGGUUGUCCUCAGAAUGGUUAUAGGCUUGUAAAGGGUUGUAAAAUAACGGUAAGUUUCCCAAAAUUCCCAAAGGUUUUCCAGAAAUCCCAGUUGGAUGUGUCCCUGAAUCAUAAGGGUAUACGCAGGAAAUCCAGAAUCCUCCAACCAGGAUUUCUGGAAAACCUUGGAAUUUCAGACAAGUUAAUGGAGUUUUGCAAACCCUGUAAAGGGUUCAACCCCAGUUCCAGACACCAAUCAGUAUUCCUCAAUCCAUUCCUAGGGGAUCCUCAGGGGGUGCAUGUUUUUGUUCUACCCCAGCACUAGCACAUUCAGGUGCUGAACCAGAACAACACCCAAGUGACGCAGCAGGCGCUAACAAACCGGAUUAGAAAUUAUUAGUGUUGGGCUAUAACAAAAACCAGUACCCCAGGAAUGGCUUGAGCAACACUGUCAGACACAUCUAAAUGUGUCUCAUGAUCAAAGCCACAUGAGACAUUUUCUAUAACAGGAUGUGUUCCUAGAUAUAGUGUAUAUAAACUACUGUUCAAAAGUUUGGGGUCCCUUAGAAAUGUCCUUGUUUUUUAAAGAAAAGCACAUUUUUUGUCCAUUAAAAUAACAUCAAAUAGAUCAGAAAUACAGUGUUGACAUUGUUAAUGUUGUAAAUGACUAUUGUAGCUGGAAACGGCAGAUUAAAAAAAGAAUGAAAUAUCUACAUUGGAUCAGCUAACACAACGUGCCAUUGGAACACAGGAGUGAUGGUUGCUGAUAAUGGGCCUCUGUAGAUAUUCCAUUUAAAAAAUCUGCCGUUUCCAGCUACAAUAGUCAUUUACAACAUGAACAAUGUCUACACUGUAUUUCUGAUCAAUUUGAUGUUAUUUUAAUGGACAACACAUAUGCUUUUCUUUCAAAAACAAGUGACCCCAAACUUUUGAACAGUAGUGUACAUUUGAACAGUAGUGUACAUUUGAACAGUAGUGUACAUUUGAACAGUAGUGUACAUUUGAACAGUAGUGUACAUUUGAACAGUAGUGUACAUUUGAACAGUAGUGUACAUUUGAACGGUAGUGUACAUUUGAACAGUAGUGUACAUUUGAACAGUAGUGUACAUUUGAACAGUAGUGUACAUUUGAACAGUAGUGUACAUUUGAACAGUAGUGUACAUUUGAACAGUAGUGUACAUUUGAACAGUAGUGUACAUUUGAACAGUAGUGUACAUUUGAACAGUAGUGUACAUUUGAACAGUAGUGUACAUUUGAACGGUAGUGUACAUUUGAACAGUAGUGUACAUUUGAACAGUAGUGUACAUUUGAACAGUAGUGUACAUUUGAACAGUAGUGUACAUUUGAACAGUAGUGUACAUUUGAACAGUAGUGUACAUUUGAACAGUAGUGUACAUUUGAACGGUAGUGUACAUUUGAACAGUAGUGUACAUUUGAACAGUAGUGUACAUUUGAACAGUAGUGUACAUUUGAACAGUAGUGUACAUUUGAACGGUAGUGUACAUUUGAACGGUAGAACCAAGAACAGGUGGAAGGUGAUUCAAUACACAAAAGUGAAAGGACAAGUCAUAAUUCAAAAGGACAAGUCAUAAUUCAAAAGGACAAGUCAUAAUUCAAAAGGACAAGUCAUAAUUCAAAAGGACAAGUCAUAAUUCAAAAGGACAAGUCAUAAUUCAAAAGGACAAGUCAUAAUUCAAAAGGACAAGUCAUAAUUCACACAGACAACUCUCCCCUAAUGCCCCCUCCCCCUGCACACUACAUAUACAAACAGACACCUCUCCCCUAA